rnacentral:rRNA from 1 species
AGUGAACGCUGGCGGUAGGCCUAACACAUGCAAGUCGAACGGCAGCACAGUAAGAGCUUGCUCUUACGGGUGGCGAGUGGCGGACGGGUGAAGAAUACAUCGGAAUCUACUUUUUCGUGGGGGAUAACGUAGGGAAACUUACGCUAAUACCGCAUACGACCUACGGGUGAAAGCAGGGGAUCUUAGGACCUUGCGCGAUUGAAUGAGCCGAUGUCGGAUUAGCUAGUUGGCGGGGUAAAGGCCCACCAAGGCGACGAUCCGUAGCUGGUCUGAGAGGAUGAUCAGCCACACUGGAACUGAGACACGGUCCAGACUCCUACGGGAGGCAGCAGUGGGGAAUAUUGGACAAUGGGCGCAAGCCUGAUCCAGCCAUACCGCGUGGGUGAAGAAGGCCUUCGGGUUGUAAAGCCCUUUUGUUGGGAAAGAAAAGCAGCAGGUUAAUACCCCGCUGUUCUGACGGUACCCAAAGAAUAAGCACCGGCUAACUUCGUG